rnacentral:rRNA from 1 species
GGGCUUGACAUCCCACGAACCUGCCUGAAAGGGUAGGGUGCCCGCAAGGGAACGUGGAGACAGGUGGUGCAUGGCUGUCGUCAGCUCGUGUCGUGAGAUGUUGGGUUAAGUCCCGCAACGAGCGCAACCCUCACCCCUAGUUGCCACCGGGUAAAGCCGAGCACUCUAGGGGAACUGCUAGCGUCAAGCUGGAGGAAGGCGGGGAUGACGUCAAGUCAUCAUGCCCCUUACGCCCUGGGCUACACACGUGCUACAAUGGCCGGUACAAAGGGAUGCAAGACCGCGAGGUGGAGCUAACCCCAAAAAACCGGUCUAAGUUCAGAUUGGAGUCUGCAACUCGACUCCAUGAAGGAGGAAUCGCUAGUAAUCGCGCAUCAGCACGGCGCGGUGAAUACGUUCCCGGGCCUUGUACACACCGCCCGUCACACCACGAAAGCUUACUGUACUCGAAGUCGCUGAG